UACAUAGGGUGCAAGCGUUGUCCGGAAUUAUUGGGCGUAAAGAGCUCGUAGGCGGUUUGUCGCGUCUGCUGUGAAAACUCGGGGCUUAACCCCGGGCCUGCAGUGGGUACGGGCAGACUAGAGUGCGGUAGGGGAGACUGGAAUUCCUGGUGUAGCGGUGAAAUGCGCAGAUAUCAGGAGGAACACCGGUGGCGAAGGCGGGUCUCUGGGCCGUAACUGACGCUGAGGAGCGAAAGCGUGGGGAGCGAACAGG
rnacentral:rRNA from 1 species